rnacentral:rRNA from 1 species
CCUACGGGGGGCUGCAGUGGGGAAUAUUGGACAAUGGGCGCAAGCCUGAUCCAGCAAUGCCGCGUGUGUGAAGAAGGCCUGCGGGUUGUAAAGCACUUUGAGUGGGGAAGAAGGCCUGGGGGUUAAUAGCUUCUGGGAUUGACGUUACCCACAGAACAAGCACCGGCUAACUCCGUGCCAGCAGCCGCGGUAAUACGGAGGGAGCGAGCGUUAAUCAGGCGUACUGAGCGUAUAGCGCGCGUAGGCGGUGAAAGCCCUGGGCUUAACCUGGGAACGGCAUUGGAUACUGUUUGACUGGAGUGUGGUAGAGGGGUGUGGAAUUUCCGGUGUAGCAGUGAAAUGCGUAGAGAUCGGAAGGAACACCAGUGGCGAAGGCGGCACCCUGGACCGACACUGACGCUGAGGUGCGAAAGCGUGGGGAGCAAACAGGAUUAGAUACCCGAGUAGUC